rnacentral:rRNA from 1 species
GACGAACGCUGGCGGCGUGCUUAACACAUGCAAGUCGAGCGGUAAGGCCCUUUCGGGGGUACACGAGCGGCGAAAGGGCGAGUAACACGUGGGUGACCUGCCCUCCACUCUGGGAUAAGCCCGGGAAACUGGGUCUACUACCGGAUAGGACCAUUGGAUGCAUGUCUGGUGGCGGAAAGUUUUUUCGGUGGGGGAUGGGCCCGCGGCCUAUCAGCUUGUUGGUGGGGUGAUGGCCUACCAAGGCGGUGACGGGUAGCCGGCCUGAGAGGGCGACCGGCCACACUGGGACUGAGACACGGCCCAGACUCCUACGGGAGGCAGCAGUGGGGAAUAUUGCGCAGUGGGCGGAAGCCUGACGCAGCGACGCCGCGUGGGGGAUGACGGCCUUCGGGUUGUAAACCUCUUUCGCCAGGGACGAAGCUAACGUGACGGUACCUGGAGAAGAAGCACCGGCCAACUACGUGCCAGCCGCCGCAGUAA